AGAUGCGAGAGUAGAGCAUAUCAAUAAGCGGAGGAAAAGAAACUAACAAGGAUUCCCCUAGUAGCGGCGAGUGAAGCGGGAAGAGCUCAAAUUUGAAAUCUUAAAGGGUUUCCCUUUACGAAUUGUAGUUUAAAGAAGUGUUUUCUGUUGGAGCUUCGGUAAAAGUUCUUUGGAAUAGGACAUCAUAGAGGGUGAGAAUCCCGUAUUUGACCGUUACUUUCCAGCUUUGUGAUACACUUUCAAAGAGUCGGAUUGUUUGGGAAUGCAGUCCAAAAUGGGUGGUAAAUUUCAUCUAAAGCUAAAUAUUGGCGAGAGACCGAUAGCGAACAAGUACCGUGAGGGAAAGAUGAAAAGGAACUUUGAAAAGAGAGUUAAACAGUACGUGAAAUUGUCAAAAGGGAAGCGUUUGACACCAGUGUUGUUUUUCCGAAAAUCAAUUACGAAUGUUUUAUUUUUGAGGAGUUAUGACUUCAUCGGCUUGCUCCUUUCUUUACGAAACUUUCUUAAUGCACUUUUCGGUUAACAAGUCAACAUCAAUUUCUUUUGUUGUAAAAGGGUAUGAGGAAGGUGGCUUUCUUUUCGGAGAAAGUGUUUAUAGCCUUGUACCUCUGCAAUCGGAGAGAUUGAGGUCUGCAGCGUAGAUCCUUCGGGGUUAGAUACAUUUGUGCUAAGUUAUAGCUUUUCAUAGACAACUUGUUGACUAUGUUAGUCUUGUAGCUUACUCGCUUAUGCUAUUUUACCUACGCUUAGGAUGUUGACGAGACUGUCGAUCUC
rnacentral:rRNA from 1 species